rnacentral:rRNA from 1 species
GUGGCGAGUGGCGAACGGGUGAGUAAUAUAUCGGAACGUACCCGGAAAUGGGGGAUAACGUAGCGAAAGUUACGCUAAUACCGCAUAUGCCCUGAGGGGGAAAGCGGGGGAUUCGCAAGAACCUCGCGUUUUCGGAGCGGCCGAUAUCGGAUUAGCUAGUAGGUGAGGUAAAGGCUCACCUAGGCGACGAUCCGUAGCUGGUCUGAGAGGACGACCAGCCACACUGGAACUGAGACACGGUCCAGACUCCUACGGGAGGCAGCAGUGGGGAAUUUUGGACAAUGGGCGCAAGCCUGAUCCAGCCAUGCCGCGUGAGUGAAGAAGGCCUUCGGGUUGUAAAGCUCUUUCAGCCGGAAAGAAAACGCACGGGUUAAUACCUUGUGUGGAUGACGGUACCGGAAGAAGAAGCACCGGCUAACUAC